GGGGUUGUGGCUCAGUGGUAGAGCGCUCGCCUAGCAUGUGUGAGGAACUGGGUUCAACCCUCAGCACCA
rnacentral:tRNA from 1 species